GAUGAACGCUGGCGGCGUGCCUAAAACAUGCAAGUCGAACGAGGGGGCAACCCCUAGUGGCGAACGGCGGAGUAAGACGUGAGCAACGUGCCCCAAAGCCCGGGACAAACGCAGAAAUGCCAUAAAUACCGGAUGUGGCCCUUUCUCGGCAUCGAGAGGGGAUUAAACGGUUUUCGCUUGGAGCGGCUCACGGCCCAUCAGGUAGGUUGGGGG
rnacentral:rRNA from 1 species